CCCGGUCCGGCCCAGCGGGCAGGGGGCCCGGGCGGCGAGGGAGCGGUGAGUGCCAGCUCUGAACUCUGCCAUCUUCUUCCUGCUGCAAACGAGCCCACCCCGCUCCAUCUACCCCCAGGGAAAUGGGCUCCAGGCGACCUCCCCGAGGACAGAGUCUGGGGCAAGGAGACCUCGGGAGAAGAGUGCCCCGCGGGGUCAGUUCAAAACUACCAGGGCGGAGCUGCUUCGGUGUCUGGGUGAAGUUUUCGACCAACCCCAGGAGGAAAGCGAGAGGGAAGAGGUCGAGAGCUGUUAAUUCCCAGUGCUUUUGCUGCUUGAAAACAGCCCCACUUGGAAUGCUAGGCGCUGAAAAUCACUGGGGGGGGGGCUGAACCCCACCAUCUCCGGGCUCCAGUCCCAGGCGGGAGCGUCGACCCAGGAGAAAGGGUAAAAUGAGGGCCGGAGGGGCAAGGAGGAAGGGAAGACAAUCGAAGGAAACCCGUGUCUAGACUUAUCCCGAGCCCUCUCGCCCUCUCUCUCUCUCUCUCUCUCUCUCUCUCUCUCUCUCUCUCCCCCUCCCUCCCCCGCUCCCCCUCUCUCGGCUGCCCGCAAAAGCCCCAGGUCCCCUCUGGGGACCAGUACUGCCUUCACUUUUUAGUGACUGCAGAGAAAAGAAGCUCCAGAAAGUAUUUCACUUACAGUGACAAACAGUGGCAGCCACUGACGUGAUCGGCUGCACCUCAGGUUGUUGGGACCAGGCAUUCAUUCAUGCGCGUGAACGCCCAUAUUGCUGUACAGAGGUUGGACGUAUAAAAAGCGAGUCCCCCGGAGAUCACGAAUAAUUGGAGGAAACUCUAAAGUCCUCCACCGAGUGCCUCCUCGGCCCCUGAGGGUCGCUGCACUUGAAGAACAAGCAGAAGAGGAGCAGAGAGAGAGGGAG